rnacentral:rRNA from 1 species
GAAGAAGGCCUUCGGGUUGUAAAGCACUUUCAGUCGUGAGGAAGGCGGGUACGUUAAUAGCGUAUUCGUUUGACGUUAGCGACAGAAGAAGCACCGGCUAACUCCGUGCCAGCAGCCGCGGUAAUACGGAGGGUGCGAGCGUUAAUCGGAAUUACUGGGCGUAAAGCGCAUGCAGGUGGUUUGUUAAGUCAGAUGUGAAAGCCCGGGGCUCAACCUCGGAAUUGCAUUUGAAACUGGCAGACUAGAGUACUGUAGAGGGGGGUAGAAUUUCAGGUGUAGCGGUGAAAUGCGUAGAGAUCUGAAGGAAUACCGGUGGCGAAGGCGGC